rnacentral:rRNA from 1 species
GACGAACGCUGGCGGCGUGCUUAACACAUGCAAGUCGAACGGAAAGGCCCUGCUUUUGUGGGGUGCUCGAGUGGCGAACGGGUGAGUAAAACGUGAGUAACCUGCCCUUGACUUUGGGAUAACUUCAGGAAACUGGGGCUAAUACCGGAUAGGAGCUCCUGCUGCAUGGUGGGGGUUGGAAAGUUUCGGCGGUUGGGGAUGGACUCGCGGCUUAUCAGCUUGUUGGUGGGGUAGUGGCUUACCAAGGCUUUGACGGGUAGCCGGCCUGAGAGGGUGACCGGCCACAUUGGGCCUGAGAUACGGCCCAGACUCCUACGUGAGGCAGCAGUGGGGAAUCUUGCACAAUGGGCGGAAGCCUGAUGCAGCAACGCCGCGUGCGUGAUGCCGGCCUUCGGGUUGUGAACCGCUUUCGCCUGUGACGAAGCGUGAGUGACGGUAAUGGGUAAAGAAGCACCGGCUAACUACGUG